AAGGUGCCGGGGCUUCUCCCGUUUUAAAGAGACGGGAGAAGA
rnacentral:tRNA from 1 species